CAUUAGAUAACCAUACAGGGUCUCAUUUAUCCCUUCAUUCCGUGUAAUUUGCACGAACACAUCAUAACAUAUGGUACGGGACACGGACGGUAGAUGUCGCUGAUGGUUUGGCAACAUAUUAACUACACGUUACAAAAAAAUUAAUUGCUUAAAAAAAUAUAAAGUAUUUUAUAUUAUAUUUUUCCUUAUCUUUAGAGCUUUUUGUAUUCACUAAUUACUUCCCAUGAGGACUUAACUUGUUCUGAGCAGGUAAAGCAGGAAAAUGGGAGUUAUAAGGCCAAGUGAGGUUUGACAUAUAGGUCCUUAACACAGUAGUAGAUAGCAAGUUAAUGAGUACAUAACACGUAUGCUGUUUCUAAUCUUCAAGAAAUGAAUCUGAUGAAUUUGGGGAACUGUGAGGCGUCUUCUGACGGGUGGAUGGUGGGUGAUCCACAUCCAUGGGUGUGAGUUCCAUGGCUACCUCUUCCCUGACAUUCAGUCACAAGCUAUUCCAUCCAACUGUGAGUAGCUGGGAUCUCUCAGGUCAAAUCAACGAGAAUACAAGUUGCAACGCAAACACUUAAGUUAGGAUCGCAUGAAAAAGAAGCAACAAGAUUCGUUUGCAAAGAAAAAUGAUAAAAAAACAUUAAUGACGGUAAACCAAGAACAUUAACUGUUUCAUAAUACUUAGAGACGAAUAGAGAUGGUUCGAAAAAUAGGAUUUGCAUUAAAGAAAUAGUUAAUGGACUAUUAAAUAUACAAAAACUAUUGAUAAUAUUAUAUUGAAGUGAUCGUUGUGAAGGUUCGUGUAAUCAAACUACAUCCCACGCGUCUCCACUCGUCAUUCAUAUAUCAUAAGCUGUGUUGAUACUAAUAUAUUUUGGUUAUUAAUAAACAAACUUGCAUCUC